rnacentral:rRNA from 1 species
UACGAGGGGGGCGAGCGUUGUUCGGAAUUAUUGGGCGUAAAGGGUGCGUAGGCGGUUUGGUAAGUCUUAUGUGAAAUCUACAGGCUCAACUUGUAGUCUGCAUGAGAAACUGCCGGGCUUAGUAUGGGAGAGGUGAGUGGAAUUCCUGGUGUAGCGGUGAAAAUGCGUAGAUAUCAGGAGGAACACCUGUGGCGAAAGCGGCUCACUGGACCAUAAC